rnacentral:rRNA from 1 species
UCGCGAAUAUUCGUCAAUGCCCUAACGGGUGAACGAGCGACGCCGCGUGAUAGAUGAAGCCCUUCGGGGUGUAAAUAUCUUUUCUUCGGGAAGAACACAUGACGGUACCGAAGGAAUAAGCCUUGGCUAACCUCGUGCCAGCAGCCGCGGUAAUUCGAGGAAGGCAAGCGUUAUCCGGAAUCAUUGGGCGUAAAGCGUGCGCAAGCGGUUUUGUAAGUGAGAUGUUAAAUUCCAACGCUCAACGUUGGACUCGCGUUUCAUACUGCAAGACUUGAGACUAGUAGAGGCAAAUGGAAUUCCCGGUGUAGUAGUGAAAUGCGUUAAUAUCGGGAGGAACGCCUAAAGCGAAAGCAAUUUGCUGGGCUAGUUCUGACGCCGUUGCACGACAGCGUGGGGAGCA